UCGAGGAUAACGCGCGGCGGGGAUCCUGCGAGUUUCGAGAAAGAAUGCGCCCGGGCCUCCGUCAUAUAGGUGCUGUCCGCUUGUUAGUGCCGUCAUUCGUGUGCCGCGUGUCGACUGUGAUGGCCCCCGGACGGGUAUCAUAGCCGAACUCAUCAGUGCGAGCGCAGAGAAUCGCAACGCUAGUUUGCUCCGAGGCGCGGUCAUGGCGACGUCGUCUGCUCCGAGGCGCUCGGCCGCCGUCUGCUGCUGUCGAGCGGCGGCCGUGGUGGUUUUACUGCUCCUGCCCGUGUGCCGCGCGGUCACCGAUACCGGGCGGAUGUGCGAACCCAUCCGCAUCGAAAUGUGCAAGGAUAUCGGAUACAACGUCACCGGAAUGCCCAACCUGGUCGGCCACGAACUCCAGCAGGACGCUCAACUGCAACUGCAAACUUUCAAGCCACUCGUCCAGUACGGCUGCGCGUCCCAGCUCAAGUUCUUCCUCUGCUCUGUGUACGUGCCCAUGUGCACCGAGAAGGUCCCCCAACCCAUCGGUCCGUGCCGACCGCUGUGCGAAAGCGUGCGCUCACGGUGUCAGCCCGUGCUCCAGGAGUUUGGAUUUCCGUGGCCCGCGGCACUGAACUGUUCCAAGUUCCCGCCACAGAACAACCAUCGGCACAUGUGCAUGGACGGCCCCGCGCCCGACGAAAGUGACCGCUACCGACCGGGACCGAGGGCCAAGCCCCCGCGCCUGAACCGAAAGCCUGUUGUAGAGAGGCCACGGCAGCGAGGACUGUGCGACGCGUUCCAUUACGGGGAGCGCUACUUCUACUACAUCAAUAGCACGCAGCGCUGCGCUCACCUCUGCGAUCGGGACAUCCUGUUCACGCAGGAGAACAAACGCUUCGCCGAAAUCUGGACCACGCUGUGGGCCUGCUUUUGCUUCUUCUCCACCCUCUUCACGCUCAUCCACUUCUUGAUAGACCCGAGCCGCUUCCACUACCCAGAGCGCUGCAUCAUCUACCUGAGCGGCUGCUACAACGUCUACAGCGUUGCGUACUUCGUGCGCUUGCUGCUGGGCCGCUCGAGCGUGUCGUGUCACAUGGACAGCCAGCACGAGGUGUCCAUCCUGAUACAGGAGGGCCUCGACAACAUCAACUGCACGGUGGUGUUUAUGCUCCUGUACUACUUCGGAAUGGCCAGCGCCACUUGGUGGGUCGUGCUGACCGUCACCUGGUUCCUGUCGGCCGGCAUGCGCUGGAGUCACGAGCGCGUCCAGAAGCACAUGACCGCCUUCCACUUCCUCGCCUGGGUCCUGCCCGCCGUGCAGACCAUGGUCAUCCUCGUGAUGCGCGUAGUGGACGCCGACGAACUGACGGGCACAUGCUUCGUGGGCAACCAGAACUCCGCCGCCCUGCUCGGAUUUGUCGUCCUGCCGUCCAGCGUGUACCUCGUCGUCGGCGCCAUGUUCCUCUUCUGGGGAUUCGUAGUGAUGCUGCGCUCGCGCGACGCGAUCGCCAUGGGGCACGCCCCGAAGGCGGACAAGCUGGAACUGAUCAUGAUCCGCGUGGGCAUCUUCGCCGUCCUCUACAUGAUUCCGGCCACCUGCGUUCUGGCGUCGUACAUCUACGAGUACUCGAACCGCGACGCGUGGCAGGCGGCGUCUUCGGCGCUUAGGCCAAACGUGGAAGUGUUCACGCUGCGCAUCUUCAUGGCGCUCGUGGUGGGCAUCACGACGGGCGUCUGGACCUGGUCGAGCCGCGCGUCCCUGAACGCCUGCCGUCGGCCCACGUCGCCUCAGUACGUCGAGCACAAGCCGCCGCAGCACAAGGUCGUGUUCACCGCUGCGCACGUCUACCAGCAGCAGCAACAGCAGAAACCCAUGCUGAAACGAACUGUGUCUGCGGACAAACAUCAGUACAAGCGUGUGUUCAGGGUCAAAGGCGGUUCCGAGACGACCGUCUGACGGUAGUGGAAAACUCGCCGCGAACUGCAUCAUCCUCGAACAAUGAGACAUCGUCCUUGCCCAGUGCCUUUUUUUUUUUUUUUCCUGCUUUCGUUCUUCACAUGUGACGUGCCUAGCACACAAACCAUUUGGAUUACUCAUCGUCAUCUUCACCACCACCACCACCACCGAGAACG
rnacentral:misc_RNA from 1 species